rnacentral:ncRNA from 1 species
GAGACCCUGUUGAUGCCGAAGCCUCAGGCUCUGCGUGAGGCAUUGACGUAGGAAUCAAUGGGGUCAC